CAACUUGUUCUUAUUCCAAGAUAUUCGUUGCACUACAACUUGAUGAAUGUGAUGAUCCGUGACACUCAUCAUCAUUCUCACCUAUGAAUGCGUGCCUGACAACCACCUCCGUUCUACAUUAGACCGGGCGCAUAUCUCUUAGAUUCCCCCACAGAAUCUUCGUGGUAUAAGCUAGAAUUGAUGGCGGCAUUCAUGAG